rnacentral:rRNA from 1 species
GCUCGUAGUUGGAUUCCUGACCUGGGGUAGCCGGUCCGCCUUGCAAAAGGUGCGCACUGAGCGGCCUCGGUCAUCCUUGAGAAGAGCGGUCCUGGCAUUCAGUUGUCGGGGUCGGGAUUCUCGACGUUUACUGUGAAAAAAUCAGAGUGUUCAACGCAGGCUUACGCCUUGAAUACAUUAGCAUGGAAUAAUGAGAUAGGACCUUGGCGGUCUAUUUUGUUGGUUUGCACGCCGAGGUAAUGAUUAAAAGGGACGGUUGGGGUUCUUCGUAUUCAAUUGUCAGAGGUGAAAUUCUUGGAUUUAUGGAAGACGAACUGCUGCGAAAGCGUCGAACAAGGACGUUCUCAUUAAUCAAGAACGAAAGUUAGGGGAUCGAAGAUGAUUAGAUACCAUCGUAGUCUUAACCAUAAACUAUGCCGAUUCAGGAUUGGCGGUCGUUUGUUCUCGACUCCGUCAGCACUGUAUGAGAAAUCAAAAUCUUUGGGUUCCGGGGGGAGUAUGGUCGCAAGGCUGAAACUUAAAGAAAUUGACGGAAGGGCACCACCAGGAGUGGAGCCUGCGGCUUAAUUUGACUCAACACGGGGAAACUUACCAGGUCCAGACAUAGUAAGGAUUGACAGAUUGAGAGCUCUUUCUUG